rnacentral:rRNA from 1 species
AGAAGACAUCUGAAGGAGAUUAAAGAUUUAUCGGUGAUGGAUGGGGAUGCGUCUGAUUAGCUUGUUGGCGGGGUAACGGCCCACCAAGGCGACGAUCAGUAGGGGUUCUGAGAGGAAGGUCCCCCACAUUGGAACUGAGACACGGUCCAAACUCCUACGGGAGGCAGCAGUGAGGAAUAUUGGUCAAUGGACGAGAGUCUGAACCAGCCAAGUAGCGUGCAGGAUGACGGCCCUAUGGGUUGUAAACUGCUUUUAUAAGGGAAUAAAGUGAGUCUCGUGAGACUUUUUGCAUGUACCUUAUGAAUAAGGACCGGCUAAUUCCGUGCCAGCAGCCGCGGUAAUACGGAAGGUCCGGGCGUUAUCCGGAUUUAUUGGGUUUAAAGGGAGCGUAGGCCGGAGAUUAAGCGUGUUGUGAAAUGUAGACGCUCAACGUCUGCACUGCAGCGCGAACUGGUUUCCUUGAGUACGCACAAAGUGGGCGGAAUUCGUGGUGUAGCGGUGAAAUGCUUAGAUAUCACGAAGAACUCCGAUUGCGAAGGCAGCUCACUGGAGCGCAACUGACGCUGAAGCUCGAAAGUGCGGGUAUCGAACAGGAUUAGAUACCCUGGUAGUCCGCACGGUAAACGAUGGAUGCCCGCUGUUGGUCUGAAUAGGUCAGCGGCCAAGCGAAAGCAUUAAGCAUCCCACCUGGGGAGUAC